rnacentral:rRNA from 1 species
GACGAACGCUGGCGGCGUGCUUAGCACAUGCAAGUCGAACGCUGAAGCUCAGCUUGCUGGGUGGAUGAGUGGCGAACGGGUGAGUAACACGUGAGUAACCUGCCCUCUUCUUUGGGAUAACGCCCGGAAACGGGUGCUAAUACUGGAUAUUCACUGAUUCUCGCAUGGGGGUUGGUGGAAAGGUUUUUUCUGGUGGGGGAUGGGCUCGCGGCCUAUCAGCUUGUUGGUGGGGUGAUGGCCUACCAAGGCUUUGACGGGUAGCCGGCCUGAGAGGGUGACCGGUCACAUUGGGACUGAGAUACGGCCCAGACUCCUACGGGAGGCAGCAGUGGGGAAUAUUGCACAAUGGGCGAAAGCCUGAUGCAGCGACGCCGCGUGAGGGAUGGAGGCCUUCGGGUUGUAAACCUCUUUCGCUCAUGGUCAAGCCGCAGCGUUGGGUUGUGGUGAGGGUAGUGGGUAAAGAAGCGCCGGCUAACUACGUG